CCCUUAGAUGUUCUGGGCUGCACACGUGCUACACUGGCAGGUUCAGCGAGCUUCAUGCCCUGAUCUGAAAGGAAUGGGAAAUCUUUUCAAAACCUGCCGUGCUUGGGAUAGAUGUUUGCAAUUAUUCAUCUUCAACGAGGAUUGCCUUGUAAGCGCACGUCAUCAGCGUGCAUUGAACACGACCCUGUAUUCUGUACACACCGCCCGUCGCUCCUACCGAUUGAAGUUUUCGGUGAGUUGACAGGAGGAUUUUUUUGAAACUGGUUCGCCAGUGGAUUUUAGAUCCAAAUGCCAACGAAUCGAUGGCUUUAGAGGAAGGAGAAGUCGUAACA
rnacentral:rRNA from 1 species